AUUGAACGCUGGCGGAAUGCUUUACUCAUGCAAGUCGAACGGCAGCACGGGGGCAACCCUGGUGGCGAGUGGCGAACGGGUGAGUAAUACAUCGGAACGUGCCCGGUCGUGGGGGAUAACGUAGCGAAAGUUACGCUAAUACCGCAUACGAUCUGAGGAUGAAAGCGGGGGACCUUCGGGCCUCGCGCGAUCGGAGCGGCCGAUGUCAGAUUAGGUAGUUGGUGGGGUAAGGGCCUACCAAGCCGACGAUCUGUAGCUGGUCUGAGAGGACGACCAGCCACACUGGGACUGAGACACGGCCCAGACUCCUACGGGAGGCAGCAGUGGGGAAUUUUGGACAAUGGGCGCAAGCCUGAUCCAGCCAUUCCGCGUGCAGGACGAAGGCCUUCGGGUUGUAAACUGCUUUUGUAUGGAACGAAAAGGCUCUGGCUAAUACCUGGGGCUCAUGACGGUACCGUAAGAAUAAGCACCGGCUAACUACGUG
rnacentral:rRNA from 1 species